rnacentral:rRNA from 1 species
AACGAACGCUGGCGGCAUGCCUAACACAUGCAAGUCGAACGAGACCUUCGGGUCUAGUUGCGCACGUGUGCGUAACGCGUGGGAACCUGCCCUUAGGUUCGGAAUAACUCCCCGAAAGGGGUGCUAAUACCGGAUAAUGUCUUCGGACCAAAGAUUUAUCGCCUUUGGAUGGGCCCGCGUUGGAUUAGCUAGUUGGUAGGGUAAAAGCCUACUAAGUCGACGAUCCAUAGCUGGUCUGAGAGGAUGAUCAGCCACACUGGGACUGAGACACGGCCCAGACACCUACGGGAGGCAGCAGUGGGGAAUAUUGGACAAUGGGCGAAAGCCUGAUACAGCAAUGCCGCGUGAGUGAUGAAGGCCUUAGGGUUGUAAAGCUAUUUUACCCGGGAUGAUAAUGACAGUACCGGGAGAAUAAGCUCCGGCUAACUCCGUG